rnacentral:rRNA from 1 species
UACGGAGGGUGCAAGCGUUGUUCGGAAUUAUUGGGCGUAAAGCGCGUGUAGGCGGCUAUUUAAGUCUGAUGUGAAAGCCCGGGGCUCAACCUCGGAAGUGCAUUGGAAACUGGAUAGCUUGAGUACGGGAGAGGAUGGUAGAAUUCCAGGUGUAGCGGUGAAAUGCGUAGAGAUCUGGAGGAAUACCGAUGGCGAAGGCGGCUACCUGGACCGAUACUGACGCUGAGACGCGAAAGCGUGGGGAGCAAACAGG